rnacentral:rRNA from 1 species
GACGAACGCUGUUGGCGUGCUUAACACAUGCAAGUCGAACGGAAAGGCCCUGCUUUUGUGGGGUGCUCGAGUGGCGAACGGGUGAGUAACACGUGAGUAACCUGCCCUUGACUUUGGGAUAACUUCAGGAAACUGGGGCUAAUACCGGAUAGGAGCUCCUGCUGCAUGGUGGGGGUUGGAAAGUUUCGGCGGUUGGGGAUGGACUCGCGGCUUAUCAGCUUGUUGGUGGGGUAGUGGCUUACCAAGGCUUUGACGGGUAGCCGGCCUGAGAGGGUGACCGGCCACAUUGGGACUGAGAUACGGCCCAGACUCCUACGGGAGGCAGCAGUGGGGAAUAUUGCACAAUGGGCGGAAGCCUGAUGCAGCAACGCCGCGUGCGGGAUGACGGCCUUCGGGUUGUAAACCGCUUUCGCCUGUGACGAAGCGUGAGUGACGGUAAUGGGUAAAGAAGCACCGGCUAACUACGUGCCAGCAGCCGCGGUGAUACGUAGGGUGCGAGCGUUGUCCGGAUUUAUUGGGCGUAAAGGGCUCGUAGGUGGUUGAUCGCGUCGGAAGUGUAAUCUUGGGGCUUAACCCUGAGCGUGCCUUCGAUACGGGUUGACUUGAGGAAGGUAGGGGAGAAUGGAAUUCCUGGUGGAGCGGUGGAAUGCGCAGAUAUCAGGAGGAACACCAGUGGCGAAGGCGGUUCUCUGGGCCUUUCCUGACGCUGAGGAGCGAAAGCGUGGGGAGCGAACAGGCUUAGAUACCCUGGUAGUCCACGCUGUAAACGGUGGGUACUAGGUGUGGGGUCCAUUCCACGGGUUCCGUGCCGUAGCUAACGCUUUAAGUACCCCGCCUGGGGAGUACGGCCGCAAGGCUAAAACUCAAAGGAAUUGACGGGGCCCCGCACAAGCGGCGGAGCAUGCGGAUUAAUUCGAUGCAACGCGUAGAACCUUACCUGGGUUUGACAUGGAUCGGGAGUGCUCAGAGAUGGGUGUGCCUCUUUUGGGGUCGGUUCACAGGUGGUGCAUGGCUGUCGUCAGCUCGUGUCGUGAGAUGUUGGGUUAAGUCCCGCAACGAGCGCAACCCUUGUUCACUGUUGCCAGCACGUUAUGGUGGGGACUCAGUGGAGACCGCCGGGGUCAACUCGGAGGAAGGUGGGGAUGACGUCAAGUCAUCAUGCCCCUUAUGUCCAGGGCUUCACGCAUGCUACAAUGGCUGGUACAGAGAGUGGCGAGCCUGUGAGGGUGAGCGAAUCUCGGAAAGCCGGUCUCAGUUCGGAUUGGGGUCUGCAACUCGACCUCAUGAAGUCGGAGUCGCUAGUAAUCGCAGAUCAGCAACGCUGCGGUGAAUACGUUCCCGGGGCU